GACGAACCGUGCGACCGUUAUUCGGAAUCACUGGGCCUAAAGCGCGUGUAGGCGGCCCGGCACGUCUCUGGCUGAAAUCCCCCGGCUCAACCGGGGAAGGGGCCGGGAUACGACCGGGCUGGAGGGGGGUAGGGGGGACGGGAACUCCGGGUGGAGCGGUGAAAUGCGUUGAGAUCCGGAGGAACGCCCGCGGCGAAAGCGCGUCCCUGGACCCCGCCUGACGCUGAGACGCGAAAGCCAGGGGAGCGAACGGG
rnacentral:rRNA from 1 species